ACAACCAAUACAAGAUUUUAGAACUUGACAUCGUGAUAAACAAAUUGUACAUUCAGGAACUCGUUUAAAUAUUAUAGGUUGAUUGACGAAUACUCUACAGUUGAUUAGAGCCCAUGAUGAU